rnacentral:lncRNA from 10 species
AUUGUCUGCUGGACAUUCCUCCCUGAUACAUCUCACAGGGGCUGUGGACAGGAGCACCGAGAGCCACUUCCUGGAGCAUGCUCCCCACCCCCGCAGCCUGUGGCUUCAGCCUCUGCUUCUGCAGACAGCGGUGGAGGAAGUCAGGACUGUCCCUUCUGACCUGAACACCUACCUCCAAGUCCUCCCUGUCGCCACAGAGACCCGGCAAUGCAAGUGAGUCCUGUUUGACCUCGUCAAUCAUCGCAGACUGUAAAGGUGACUCGGAUGCUCAAGAAACGAGCAUACCCAGCAGUGGGCCCCAGACUUCUCGCAGGCCCAGGUCCUCCUGGGUGCACAGAGACCUACCAGACAACGGUCCGGCUGCACUGGUGUUGUGAGAUGCCUGUGUCAGAAGACACUGAGUUCCUCACUCGCCUCCUAUCAUGCCGAUGAUCACAGGAGAAAGAGCAGGGCACAUGCAUGCCAGCAUGCUGAAGGGAGGCCAAAACCCAUGCUUGAAAACCACAGGUCCUGUUCUAGGAGCAGGAGAUAUAUUUAGCCAAGCAGGAUGUUUGUGGGUAAACCAACAUUUUGCUGUAAAUAAAAUUCUGCAAACUCGGGACUUUGAGAAUUGCAGAAGCUUACUUUGCCUGCGUAUUGGCAAGAGAGCUAUUUUCCUAACACAAGCUCACCAUGACCCUCAUUCAGAGAUGCGCUUGACGCCGAGGGUGGUGCCUUUUCGCUAAGGGGUGCUGUCAGGGGAUUGAGUAGGAGCCUGAAGAGCUAGGAGUAUCUUCUCCCUGGGCAGACCAGCAGGCAGACCCUGUCCCUUCACACUACAGUGGCACGUGAUGGGCCCCACUGCCCACCUGGUUCUGGUGUCCAGGCUGAAGUCCUCGUGUGACACUCCAAACUGUUCUGGCAAGGAAGGCUCACGGGUUCUGACCUACACUCUGAAACUGACCAGUAGUGAUAAACUCCGCAUGGACUUCAGCCAUCAUUGCGUACGUAAGAAAUACGUGUUGCACACAGAGUGCUUCUCUACAUUCCCAGGUUUGCCACUCCCCGACUUUUGCUGAAGCAGGUUUCUACUCCAUCAGUCCCACAGAUGUGUUCACAGGGCCAGCACUGAGUGUGGUGCUGGGGAAGGCAUGUGCUUGGAGGCAGCCCUGUGAGAUGGCACAGCCUAGGGGAGGAGUCGUGGUGGGGAAGACCCUGGCCACGCAUGAUAGAGGAAGCGUGGCCACACAGUCUUUGCUGUCCCUGCCACAGCAUGGUGCUGUAAGUCUCCUCCUUCCGAGUCUGUGCAGACUUAUGUGACACAUUUGACCCAACAGAAAUGCAGCAUUUGUGGUGUGUGAAAGUUCCAGACCAGGCCACAGCGAGCUCCGUGGCUUCGGCUGUGUCUCCUGGAGCACUUGCUCUCAGGACCCCCUCUCUCAGAGCCCAGGCACCACGCCGUGAGAGAGCCCCAGCCACAGAGACAGGCUACGUGUAGGUGCUUUCAUCAAAGUGCCACCUGUGCCUCCCCGCAGCAGUGUCAGGCCACCAGCUUGGACAGGCAGCUCCAGCCUCCAGUGGAGGCUUCAGAGGACAGCAUCAAACAGCAUCCACAAAGGAGACCCACCUUGUGAAAAGCGCCUAGCCAAGCCCUGCCCAAAUCCCUGGCCUGUGCAAUUGUGAGCAAAGCAAUUCAAUUUGGAGUGGUUUUAUGCUGCAGUAGGUGACCAAAGCACUAUGGAAGUGAAUAUCAGGAGCCCCUCACUGGGAUGUCAGAAGACAUUCAAGGAAGGUUUCCUGGAAGAUUUAGUACCUCAGGUGGUACAGGAGAAGGUGAGAUGGAGAGAAAGCAACCCCAGUCUGAAGACGCAGUGGUAAGAAAGGGUCAUUCCCCUGGGCAUGUGUGGUCUGCUGGGGGAUGACAGCCGAGGUGAACUUGAAGCAGAGGACACUCAGACAAGCUGCACUCUGAAUCCCGCUACGCUGACCGCAGCACUUGCUGAAGAAGCCGCCUCGCCACGCCCAAGCCCUGCAGAGGGAAGGACUGAGGAAGGCAGCUCAGAGGCCUCAGGCAGCCACAGUGUGCAUGCUUGUCUAUGACUCACAGCUACGACGUGGCCUGUGCUGCUGCAGCUGCUGAUAAGCCUCAAACCUCAUAUACCACUCUCUUCCGAGGAUUUUUUAAAUACACAAAACUGGGAGUGAGAGGGGUAUUUAAUUCCCCUACUAACACAUGUUGGGCGCAGCUGGAGCAGCCAGGCCCACUGUAGCUGGGAAGAUGCGGUGCCUUGAGGUGCAGGCACUGCUCACUGCCACAUGUGAGCACAGGUUCUGAGGGUGAAAGGUCCCUGGUAUCUGGCCAGAGUGUUAGACUCUGGAACAUAAGAAGCCCCCGAGGUGGUGGAGAAGGUCUAGCCAGGCUCCAGACUGGCUUCACAGAGGUAAUGCUUUUUGGUUUGAAAUCCGUAAGAGCGCACUACAACUUCAGGGCAAGCUCCAACAGUGCUUCUCAAACUUUAAUGAGCACCCAAAUCAUCAGGGGGCGCGGGGGCAGUGGGUCGCUUACUAAAAUGAAGAUUCUGCAUCAGGAGGUCUGGGGCGGUGACACGAUUCUGUGUUUCUAACACGUUCCUGGGUGAGGCUGAAGCCACUAGUCCAUGAAGCACACUUUGAGUAGCAAGAAUGUGGAGGAACUGUCCCAGGAUGGGCCAUGAUUUACCUGAAUUCUCACAGUGGCUUAGACAAUGGAGACCUUGUCCACAACUA